CGUUUACUCUGCUCGGGUCUCUAGUGGUUUGAGGAUAAUGUUUAUCAGAAGUGAACGUGCUCAAGUUGUUUCCAUUCAACUGCUGAGUGUGAGCUGAAAUACCAAAGGUCAGAUCUACAGUGAGUCGGUAGAGGGCAGGGGGAGACGAGAGGAAUAUGAAAACAUAAUAUACAACAGACUGUUGAUCGCUUCUGACCUGCCUGGCAAAAAGAUUAUUUUUUUCAGGUCAUAUUUGUCUCACUGCAAAGAUGCAAGCCUGAAAACCUUUCCAAGAUCCCUGGGCCAACAAUCCCUUCCAGCUGAUCGCAGUGCAUGGAAAGAAGAAGUCCUCUCAGACAAGCUAGUGUGUUAAAGCACCAAGGUGAUCUGCUAUGCCCAGCUGUGGCAGAAGGUUGCCUUCCCUGCACUGCCCAGUGAGUGUAGAAGCUGUCUAGCAUUGGCAUGCCUGGCAUUCAUGCAUGGUGCCCAGCACUAGCACAGUGAAGCCCAGGUUUCCAGGAGUGGAUUACAAUCUCUCCCACUCUCCUUGCUAUUACCCUUCCUUCUCUUCCUGCACUUGAAUCUGGACAUGAGUGGACAUUGAGGAAGAGGUUUUGUGCCUACCAGCAGCCACAAUACUUGUGUCACAUCCAACUCCAUAUUGCAAGGCGCUGAGUAACAGCUCAUGAUCCCUAUCAAGUAAUGGCUCCAGGGUUUGUUUACCAACAUCCACUGGAGACUCCAGCUUUUCUGUAGAAACAGAAACUGAGCCCAGGCUUAUCCAGGAAGCCCAAAAGUCCACGUGGGCACAUCCCUGGAGAAGACAGCCCCAGCUCAGCCUCCUGUUUUACCUUUUGGACUGCUGUGUCCCUCUGAGACAGGCUCCAUUGAGAUCUCUGUGAAAUGAAUGAUGUGACUUACCAGUAUCACACAAGCUGUUCCAAGAAUAUCAGCAAGGCACUGGAAAAUGGCAGGGAGACUGGAGACUUUCCUGAGAAGGUUUUACCCAGUGAUGGAAAAUAUAUUUGUGUUAUUACUUUAGCACAAGUGUCUUCUAUAAUGCUAAGGUUUGCUUUCAAAUAAAACAUAAAUUGCACAUCUGGUUGGAAGAAAUAAAUGCAAUAGUGCUUCAAAGACUAUCUGUCAGGCUUAAAAAGAAAAGAGAUGAGGAUUUAUUGGUGUUUUUAUUAUUAACAUAAAAGCCUUGGGAAUCUCAAAAUAGACCAGGAUUAUAGGUAAAUAUGGGUUCUAUUUUCUUCUUUGUUUGCCUUAACAUACUAUUAGCAUCAAGCUAAAAAAGGAUCAUCUGAAUGUUAAUAUGUUUACUGUGUGCACAUGGAUAUUAGCUUAAUCAAUACACAGAUGCAGAAGACUGUAGAGAAAAGUAUGCACUACAAGUGUAUUAUUCAUCUUAAACAUUUCAGACAGCCUCUUCAUUCUGGAGAUACUAUUUGCUUAAGAAACCCCACUCUUGAUGUGCUUUCUCAGUCUUUCAAGACUUUUGUGAAGCAGUAGUGGGCUGCUUCUGUGCAAAGACUUGGAAUGGACAUCUAUUUGCAAAUGAACAAGCAAUGAAAGAAGUGGGAGUUUCUAAAGUAGAUUACUUAUAAAAUUAAAAUUUGAGGAAGUUUGGGUAUAAAUAACAUGUCCAAAUCAGGAAAUAUUUGGUGGCUUGAAGACAUGCACAUUAGAUUUCCUGCCUGAGCUGCUGAUGACUCCAGCCUCCUUUCCAGGAGAAAAUUAUCCUGUGCAAUGCUGGUUAAAGCCUUGCAUGAGUCACUCCAAGGUGUUGGAGGGGGCUGUACAAAUCCUGGUCCCCACUUUCUCCUAAAAAUUGUCUGCAAGAGGUUCAAUUUUGCUGUGUCAGGACCAGGUUGAAUCUUUCAUAGGAUUUAAAUUAAAUCCUUGGCAACCACUUUCUGAUUUUAUAGCAAAAUCUGACCUAUGUGUUAAAGUGAGGACAUUGUUUUGCUGGGUUAUUGCUUAAUUACUAAAUGAAGAAAUAUUAAGUACAAAUUUAAUGACUCAUACAAUAUUUCCAAAUGACAUGUACUAUCAAGUCCCAUUUACAUCUACCACACUGGUGUUUAACUCACUUUCCAUUAUUCCUGAGGCUAUUAAUGUCAGUAAUUACAGCAGGUAACAUGUCUAAUAUUGAGUCCAUUGUGGAAUAAA